GUAGGGUGCGAGCGUUAUCCGGAAUCAUUGGGCGUAAAGAGCUCGUAGGCGGUUCAGCAAGUCGGCUGUGAAAUUCCGGGGCUCAACCUCGGAACUGCAGUCGAUACUGCUGUGACUCGAGUCCGGUAGAGGAGAAUGGAAUUCAGGGUGUAGCGGUGAAAUGCGCAGAUAUCCUGAGGAACACCAGUAGCGAAGGCGGUUCUCUGGGCCGGUACUGACGCUGAGGAGCGAAAGCGUGGGGUAGCAAACAGGAUUAGAUACCCUGGUAGUCCACGCCCGUAAACGUUGGACACUAGGUGUGGCGUUCCGACCCAACGGGUGCCGUGCCGAAGCUAACGCAUUAAGUGUCCCCGCCUGGGAGUACGGCCGCAAGGCUA
rnacentral:rRNA from 1 species